GUAAAUUUUUUUUUCUAUGUGAAAUGUAACAAGACGAUGGGAGAUAAGUCCUGUAACAACUUGAGAUAAGGCAGCUAUUGAACGCCAAUCAUGUCCCCCUUCCCUCCACAAAGCGCCAAUCAGUCUCUUUUUCACAUGGCAGACUCGUAAAAGUAACAAGACUAUGAUAGUAGAUGUACGCAAAUGUGUAGAAUUAUGACUGAUUCAAAUAAUUGAUGCAAUUUCUCUCACUAUAUGCAAGGUUAUUUCAUAACAUGUUCAUUUCCAUAUUAAAGAAAAAAACUACACAUCUAACAGUCUUUUACCUGUGUUAAUAC